rnacentral:tRNA from 1 species
AGUGCCGUAGGCAAACUCGGAUAAGCCACCAGAUUUUCACUCUGGCGAACUGCGGGUUCAAAUCCCGUCGGCACUG